UUCGGGACGCCGGCGAGUGGCGAACGGGUGAGUAACACGUGGAGACCUGCCCUGAGGUGGGGGAUAACAGCUAGAAAUGGCUGCUAAUACCGCAUACGCCUUACGAGGGAAAGAUUUAUUGCCUCAGGAGGGUUCCGCGUCGGAUUAGCUUGUUGGUGGGGUAACGGCCUACCAAGGCGAUGAUCCGUAGCUGGUCUUAGAGGAUGAUCAGCCACACUGGGACUGAGACACGGCCCAGACUCCUACGGGAGGCAGCAGUGGGGAAUAUUGCGCAAUGGGAGAAAUCCUGACGCAGCGAUACCGCGUGGGUGAAGAAGGUCUUCGGAUUGUAAAGCCCUUUCAGCAGGAAAGAUGAUGACGGUACCUGCAGAAGAAGCCCCGGCUAACUCCGUGCCAGCAGCCGCGGUAAUACGGAGGGGGCGAGCGUUGUUCGGAAUGACUGGGCGUAAAGAGCGCGUAGGCGGUUUAUUAAG
rnacentral:rRNA from 1 species